CUCAAGGACAGAGGAACCCAUCCCCUCUCACACAGGGAGGGUGUGGAGGUGAAGGGAGUCCAUAGGGCCGCUCCUCGGGUCACGGGGCUAACUAUGGUUCUCCGCAUGGUUCUCGCAGCUCCAGGGGGAACUGCAGCUUGCUGAGUAAGCACACACAAGCUCAGUGUCGUCCAUCUAUUAGCGUGCAGGCGUGCUGUCUGUCCUGGGAGGGGCCGGGUGACUGGUGACAGAUCCCAGCUGUUUCCUAAGGCCCAAAAGACCUCAGCCGGGCCGACAGAUGCGCAUCAGCAACUGAGCAGGCCGUACCAGGGCGGUGGAAGGUGGCCCACCCGGCUGAGAACUGAGGGCGGCCUGGGAGGAAAUGGACGGACGGCCACUGACCCAGAGCCCCACGCUACCGUGAUGGCUCUCCGUUUCCGUCUGCGAAUGGCGCAUCUUGCUGACCCAUUUUGGGCUGAGAGCCUUCAGGUUGCCCUGGUCUCCUUCCCAGCGAGUCCCACGGUGGUUGGACAGGAACUCCACAUCCUGCUCAGGCCUGGAGCCUCUGGCGCAGGGGCCUGCAGCUCUGGCCACGGUGCCGUCCUCGGUCCCAUCUCCCUGUCCUCUCUUGCCCUGUGUCCUUGGGUUGGCUGAACUGGGGCCACAGCAGUGUUUGUGGAGGCUGAACUGGAGGAUGGGGGGGGCACCGAGGACGGGUACAGUGGUAUGGGCAAGCUAUGGCACAGGGGCUCAGCAAAGGAGUCUUGAACCAGCGCCCAGCCUGCGGACAGAUGCUCCAGGUCUGUUUAGUGUCACUGAGGACACUUCUCCUGAGAGAAUGGAGACACCCAUCGUGGAGCUCUCUCCUGAGGACACGGAACCACUCUCACACUGGGCUAACAAUGGAUCAUGAAAGCAUCGCCAUCAGCUGCAAACUCCACCAUAGACAUGGUAUCUUUGAUUCAUUAAGCAGGAGACCUGGCUCUAGGGUACCAGCUCCACACAGAAUAAAGCCUGGAGUUGGGUUUCCACAUGUGUACAGUGGCAAGCUGAACCAGACGGCUCUUAAGCUGACCGAGUGCCUCUUCUUCCCUGGACACUAAUGAGCAGCUUGGAAGCUGAGCCGCUUUCUUCCGGAAAGAGCCUUCACUGCGGGGCAGGGGCUUCAUGCAGCUGCGGGGUGACUGUGGACAGAGCUCCUGGGCACACAACGGACGUGUCCCCUCUGUCUCCCACUCUCCUGAGCUCUUGCUAGCACGACUGAACCCAUGAGGGAUCCGCAGGGAAGACGCAAACCCCUUGGCGAUCAUCCUUCUGGAGUCGGAGCCACCCCAGGAAGGCAGGUGGAGACGGGAGUGGUGGACAGUGUCCCUCUCAUUUAAGGGAUGCGCUGGACAACAGGGCAGGGGCGCAUAAUCUGGGAAAGCCCAACACACACACGCAUACGGCUCCAUCACUUCAUCGGGAAGAUCUCAGCAAAUCUUGGUUGGCCAAACCGUGUUAUAAUCUCUGCACAGAGGGCAUGGCUCACAGCUCUGGAGAUUCUGGGCUUCUGACCCAAGCUGAGGGCUGUGAAUGCUGGGCGUGAGGGGGGAGACUCCAUGAAACCCCAGGCUUCUCAAGAUGAAGGAAUUACAGAAUACAGUACAUUUAUGCCUCUGAAACCAAUGAGAUGGCCUCUUGCCUGAAGAGAAGGGGUGGUCACGUGAGUCUCCCCACGUGCAACGUGAUGCUUUCGUGUUCCGUCUCCACACUUGCUCGGGGUGUCAGAGGGUGAGCCGAGGAAGGAUGAUCCAACAGAGAAUUAAGAGUUGUUUACAACUUUUGUGCCUUCAAAGAGAAUUAUCGUCACGUGCCUAUCCUCCCAAACACCAUGAGACCGUACAAUGCUCUUCUUUCUCACGAAGGCACCAGAACAGAAUGGAAAAUUGAAAUGAUUUUCACGACUGUCACUUAAUGAGUCAGGCUUGGAAAGUGCUAGAAUUAGACUGAUCCUAUCUUUCUGGGCUGAAUUUCCUCAGAAGGGCCAGCGGGAGCCGUGGCCAAGCAUGAGGACCCGGCAGUCAUCUGCGCGGGAGGUGCAGAUCGAGAUCAGCAGCUUUGGGCUUCAGCCUCAAUGAGAACAGAAUACGUGCAUCUCUUUUUGACUUCAUUGCAGAUUUUUAUCAACUAAGCUCUAGUGACUUAUCCCACAUCUGACACUACACAAUCACACACUCAUGGGAGAAGAGUCAUAAGGGAACCGGCCCUGGCCGGUUAGACUUUGUUGACAAAGAAGCACUGUAAUUUGAUGAGAAGUGUUCUCAAAUCAAGUCACGUCAAAAGUGAAAGCGCACAGCCAAGGGCGGAGGUGAGCGUGUGCCAGCCAGCCUGGCAUCACGUGAACUCAGGCCCGUGUGGCCUGCUCCCUCGGGGCCUCAGGGGUGUCCUGAGAUGUCCUGCCCGAUGACGGCACUUUUCCUAGGAGAGCCAUCACGACGCUUGGUGGCGACUGUCUCUUUCUCCUGUCACACGGAGGUCAGGGCAGCGCCUUGUUCACGGCUCCCCGGAAACUGGCUCUGCACAUUCUGUGGAAAAGAUGCUAAUGGAAACAGCUGGGCUGCAGAGGCCGAGAGGUUGACAGAAGCUUCCUCUAAAUCAAAGCUAGCCAAGUGAC